rnacentral:rRNA from 1 species
GGCCUAACACAUGCAAGUCGAACGGUCAGCACAGAGGAGCUUGCUCCUUGGGUGGCGAGUGGCGGACGGGUGAGGAAUACAUCGGAAUCUACUCUGUCGUGGGGGAUAACGUAGGGAAACUUACGCUAAUACCGCAUACGACCUACGGGUGAAAGCAGGGGAUCUUCGGACCUUGCGCGAUUGAAUGAGCCGAUGUCGGAUUAGCUAGUUGGCGGGGUAAAGGCCCACCAAGGCGACGAUCCGUAGCUGGUCUGAGAGGAUGAUCAGCCACACUGGAACUGAGACACGGUCCAGACUCCUACGGGAGGCAGCAGUGGGGAAUAUUGGACAAUGGGCGCAAGCCUGAUCCAGCCAUACCGCGUGGGUGAAGAAGGCCUUCGGGUUGUAAAGCCCUUUUGUUGGGAAAGAAAUCCAGCCGGCUAAUACCUGGUUGGGAUGACGGUACCCAAAGAAUAAGCACCGGCUAACUUCGUGCCAGCAGCCGCGGUAAUACGAAGGGUGCAAGCGUUACCCGGAAUUACUGGGCGUAAAGCGUGCGUAGGUGGUUAUUAAGUCCGUUGUGAAAGCCCUGGGCUCAACCUGGGAACUGCAGUGGAUACUGGAUGACUAGAGUGUGGUAGAGGGUAGCGGAAUUCCUGGUGUACAGUGAAAUGCGUAGAGAUCAGGAGGACAUCCAUGGCGAGCAGCUACCUGGACCCACACUGACACUGAGGCACAAAACGUGGGAGCAACAGGAUAGAUCCCUGGUAUUCCCCC